GAGGAGAAAAAAGAGGCCGAAGAUUGGUCGAAAGGGGCCGACAUCAGAUCCUCGACCCGACAAGCAAAACAAGAGCAAAAAAAUCAAGAAGCCGCGAGAAAAGCAGCAGAGA
rnacentral:rRNA from 1 species